rnacentral:rRNA from 1 species
UACGGGGGGGGGCAAGCGUUGUUCGGACUUACUGGGCGUAAAGGGCUCGUAGGUGGCCAACUAAGUCAGACGUGAAAUCCCUCGGCUUAACCGGGGAACUGCGUCUGAUACUGGAUGGCUUGAGUUUGGGAGAGGGACGCGGAAUUCCAGGUGUAGCGGUGAAAUGCGUAGAUAUCUGGAGGAACACCGGUGGCGAAGGCGGCAUCCUGGACCGGUAUUGACGCUGAGGCGCGAAAGCUAGGGGAGCAAACGGG